GUGACAAGGACUGGUCCCUGUGUUUACAUGGCUGCCCACUGUUAGUGAGAAAAGGACUGGUCCCUGUGUUUACAUGGCUGCCCACUGUUAGUGUGAAAAGGACUGGUCCCUGUGUUUACAUGGCUGCCCACUGUUAGUGUGAAAAGGACUGGUCCCUGUGUUUACAUGGCUGCCCACUGUUAGUGAGAAAAGGACUGGUCCCUGUGUUUACAUGGCUGCCCACUGUUAGUGAGAAAAGGACUGGUCCCUGUGUUUACAUGGCUGCCCACUGUUAGUGAGAAAAGGACUGGUCCCUGUGUUUACAUGGCUGCCCACUGUUAGUGAGAAAAGGACUGGUCCCUGUGUUUACAUGGCUGCCCACUGUUAGUGAGAAAAGGACUGGUCCCUGUGUUUACAUGGCUGCCCACUGUUAGUGAGAAAAGGACUGGUCCCUGUGUUUACAUGGCUGCCCACUGUUAGUGAGAAAAGGACUGGUCCCUGUGUUUACAUGGCUGCCCACUGUUAGUGUGAAAAGGACUGGUCCCUGUGUUUACAUGGCUGCCCACUGUUAGUGUGACAAGGACUGGUCCCUGUGUUUACAUGGCUGCCCACUGUUAGUGAGAAAAGGACUGGUCCCUGUGUUUACAUGGCUGCCCACUGUUAGUGAGAAAAGGACUGGUCCCUGUGUUUACAUGGCUGCCCACUGUUAGUGAGAAAAGGAACAAGCAUGUUGGAGUGGAGUCUCUUACAGGCCACCCAAGAGCUAUUGUUGCUAAGCUACAUGUCCAACCCCCCAGUUUUAGCUGGACUGUCUGUUCUAUUUAAGGACAAUUCUAGAAUGGACUCUUGUAUUCAUGGAAAGGUAACACAGUUGUUCUGUCACAAUGUUCCGUCUCUUCUCACAGCCACUGUAUCUCUGUGACUGUGAGGAAAGAGACUGUAAUGUUGAGUUCAAAACAUCACACUGAAAUGAAUGUCAAUGUUGUUAGUAGGUCUGUGCUGGUUUAUGCCCAGUUAUGAAAAGGGUUCAUUCAGACCAUUAGGGACAGGUAAGAAACAGGAUACAAAGGAACAAUGUACACUAUAUAUACAAAAGUAUGUGGACAGCCCAUCAAAUUAGUGGAUUCAGCUAUUUCAGCCACACCCAUUGCUGACAGGUGUAUAAAAUCGCGCUCGCAGCCAUGCAAUCUCCAUAGACAAACAUUGGCAGUAGAAUGGCCUUACUGAAGAGCUCAGUGACUUUCAAGGUGGCACUGUCAUAGGAUGCCAGCUUUCCAACAAGUUAGUUUGUCAAAUUUCUGCCCUGCUAGAGCUGGCCCGGUCAACUGUAAGAGCUGUUAUUGUGAAGUGGAAACAUCUAGUAGCAACAACGGCUAAGCCGCAAAGUCGUAGGCCACACAAGCUCACAGAACGGGACAACCGAGUGCUUAAGCAGGUACGGCAUAGAAAUCAUCUGUCCUCGGUUGUAAAACUCACUACUGAGUUUCAAACUGCCCCUGGAAGCAACAUCAGCACAAUAACUGUUUGUCAGGAGCUUCAAGAAAUGGUUUUCCAUGGCCGAGCAGCCGCACACAAGCCUGAUAUCACCAUAUGCAAUGCCAAGCAUCGGCUGGAGUGGUGUAAAGCUCGCCGCCAUUGGACUCUGGAGCAGUGAAAAUGCGUCCUCUUGAGUGAUGAAUCACGCUUCACGAUCUGGCAGUCCGACAGACGAAUCUGGGUUUGGCGGAUGCCAAAGAGAACCCUACCUGCCCCAAUGCAUAGUGCCAACUGUAACGUUUGGUGGAGGAGGAAUAAUGGCCUGGGGCUGUUUUUCUUGGUUCUGGCAAGGCUCCUUAGAUCCAGUGAAGGGUACUCUCAACCCCAUUGAACACCUUUGGGAUGAACUGGAACAGACUCCUACACAUACUUUAAAGGCUGCAUCCCAAAUGGGCCCUGGCAAAAAGUGCACUAUAAAGGGAACAAGGUUCUAUUUAGGAUGCAGGCUUUAAAGUAUGUGUAGGAGUCUGUUAAGAAAGCAGAAGUUUCACUGACACAGUAUGUCUUACCUGGUUUCAGUUCCCGUUAUUCUGUGGAGGCUAUAAAUGAUGUCGCAUAAUAACUGUAAAGUCAAUUACUUCAACAGAAACAAACAAGUCAUGGAAAGGAAUCUCCCUAAUUACGGCGACAUGAAGUUGGAUGCAAUGCCGAGGUCAUAGGGCUAGAGUUCUAGGCUGCAUAUGUUACACACAUAUUUCAUUUUUAUAAAAAAAUAUAUAUGUUUUAGGUAUGCAAAAUACUCAAACUUGGUUGUGCAGUCAGCCUGGUAAAAAGGCAUCCUUUUAGAGGGAGUUCUAUUAUGACCGUGUACGGGGCAUGCGCGUUUCUCCAAGGCCAGUUUCCAUAGCAGUGGUCGCACCGCGAGAUAAGUUCUCCAACUUAUGAUGAUUGACUGACACCCACCGUGCGAGUUCAUUUGAUAUGGAUCUUACUAUGGACUUACGUAUGUUACAUUUUAUUUAGCCUAGUAGGCUUCCUAAUUGUUGCCUUCCCAAUUGAUUCAGUGCGCUUUUGCGUUUUGGCAAGAGACUGUAGCUGAGACAAAAGUCCGACUGAUUGGGUAAAACAAACAAUUAUGGGCAAUCAAGACGGUGAAUUCUGCUUCUUAAUUUGAGCAAAUAUUUAUUUUUGUCAUCACAGUGUGCUUUUCGUUUUUGAACGCCAUCCGACAAAAAUGAGCUGUUUUGGGCGGGGGCUGAGGCGGACGGCCCCUGCACGCGGCAGCAGCAGGAAUGAGCUGGUGACCCCCUCGACGGCAUCUCUCUCCAGGGUUAACGGCUGGGCCUGUCCCCCUCACUCCUUCCAGCUGGUGGGAUGGACAAUAUACAGCUACAUGGCUGUAGUUGGCUUUGGGAUCUAUAUCCCACUACUACCUUCACCCUGGAGCCACAUGGCCUACUCUCUGACUGGCAUAGCCUUCAUUGUGCACCUGGUCACCCAUCUAGCUGCCGUGUCUAUAGACCCAGCAGAUGCAGGCGUCCGUGCCAAGAAGAGCUACUCCAACCCACUGCCUGUCUUUGACAAGAAGAAACAACCACAUGUUAUCCACAACCUACACUGCUACCUGUGUAAAAUCAAUGUGGACCCUAAAGUGAAACACUGUGGUGUGUGCAACAAGUGUAUUGAAGACUUUGACCACCACUGUAAAUGGCUGAACAACUGUGUGGGGGGACAGAACUACUGGUACUUCUUUGUGACGGUGUUGUCUGCUACACUGGGCGUCCUUGUGCUUCUCAUGGUCGUCCUGUUCAUCUUCAUCCAGCAUUAUAUGGACCCUGCCAGUCUCCGCACCGCACCACAGUUUACCAGUGUGAUGAGUAACGGGACGUUGCUGGUCUUCCUGUCUGUAGGUGUGAUGAGUAACAGGACGUGGCUGGUCUUCCUGCCCCUGGUACCCAUGGAAACAGGGUCAGAGAGUCUCCUGGUUGUCGCCUUCCUCACGGUCAUGUUGGCUACUGGCUCUCUACUGCUGCUGGUUCACCUACUGGGCUUCCACAUCUAUCUCUUGUUAAACAACAUGAGCACGUAUGACUACAUUAUAACAAGACGUCGUAAACAGGCCAGCCAGCAGGACAUAGAGAUGGGCUUUCCCCAGUCAUCUGACAGCAACGCAGGACCGAAUCAUCCGCAAAUGGAGCCCUCCAUCGAUUGUGAUGCGUUGUUGUCAGACAGUGUCAGCUGCAAGAAUCAGGAAACGGGAACUAUUGCAAGUCGACCUUCUGGAUCUUUCUGUUCUGAGUUGGACAACUUUACUAAAUCAUCAGAAAAGGAAAAUGGCUUUUACUAUGGCACAGAGCUACCCACCCAGAUUAUACCAGGUGAGUUUACCCACCCAGAUUAUACCAGGUGAGUUUACCCACCCAGAUUAUACCAGGUGAGUUUACCCACCCAGAUUAUACCAGGUGAGUUUACCCACCCAGAUUAUACCAGGUGAGUAAACCCACCCAGAUUAUACCAGGUGAGUAAACCCACCCAGAUUAUACCAGGUGAGUUUACCCACCCAGAUUAUACCAGGUGAGUAAACCCACCCAGAUUAUACCAGGUGAGUAUACCCGCCCAGAUUAUACCCGGUGAGUAUACCCGCCCAGAUUAUGCCAGGUGAGUUUACCCGCCCAGAUUUUGCCAGGGGAGUUUACCCACCCAGAUUAUACCGGGUGAGUUUACCCACCCAGAUUAUACCAGGUGAAGUGGUGAUGGAUGACCCCUUGGGCUUGAGGUUGGGUGGAGGUGGAGAGGGCCCCAGAGCAGGCCAGUGUGAGGGGGUCCCCUGCACUGACAGAGCUCAUCAGUAGCUGGUCUCUGAUGCUCUGCAGGUGGCCACACACAGUACCUGAGGAACUAAAGGCAUUGACACGCCAUAGUGAACGUCGGCCGUGUGCAGUACAGUAGAUCACCUACUGGAUGUUGACUAACUGUGGUCGAUACAACAUGUCAAACCUUUGGGAAAUGAACAAACAAUGACUGUUGAUGUUGUCUGGUCAGAAGCCAUGGAAUCGUCCACCGGCAGCAGUAUUGACCCAGCACAGCACUGGGGAACAAAUAGAAUGUUCAUGCUGGAUUGAAGCCACUGUGAUGCGUCCAACGGACCUCCUGCUGUUGCCUAUGACGAUCACCACUUGAAACUGGAAAUGGACAUUUAUAAUUGACUAUUUUAAUAGGAUAUUUACACUGAGUGAUGGGAAGGACAUUUAUUUUGCAGCAGUUUUAUGUGUUUUAUCUGUGGAUUUAAAUAAUUGUUUUACCUAUGUUUUAUUUGUUAAUUUAGCCAUAUCAGAUCAUAAUGUUCUUGCUGAAUUUAAAAAUAAAAUGUGUAAACAUA